UUGAACGCUGGCGGCAUGCCUAACACAUGCAAGUCGAACGGCAGCACGGGAGCUUGCUCCUGGUGGCGAGUGGCGGACGGGUGAGUAAUGCAUAGGAAUCUGCCCAGUAGCGGGGGACAACUUGGGGAAACUCAAGCUAAUACCGCAUACGCCCUACGGGGGAAAGCGGGGGACCUUCGGGCCUCGCACUAUUGGAUGAGCCUAUGUCAGAUUAGCUUGUUGGUGGGGUAAAGGCCUACCAAGGCGACGAUCUGUAGCUGGUCUGAGAGGACGAUCAGCCACACUGGGACUGAGACACGGCCCAGACUCCUACGGGAGGCAGCAGUGGGGAAUAUUGCACAAUGGGCGAAAGCCUGAUGCAGCAAUGCCGCGUGUGUGAAGAAGGCCUGCGGGUUGUAAAGCACUUUCAGUAGGGAGGAAACAGUAGCCGGUUAAUAUCCGGUUGCCUUGACGUUACCUACAGAAGAAGCACCGGCUAACUCUGUG
rnacentral:rRNA from 1 species